rnacentral:tRNA from 1 species
GCCUGGGUGGCUCAGUCGGUUAAGCAUCCAACUUCGGCUUGAGUCAUGAUUUUGCAGUUUGUGAGUUCAAGCCCCGCCUCGGGCU